rnacentral:rRNA from 1 species
UACGAAGGGGGGCUAGCGUUGCUCGGAAUGACUGGGCGUAAAGCGUGCGCAGGCGGUUCUAUAAGACAGAUGUGAAAUCCCCGGGCUCAACCUGGGAACUGCAUUUGUGACUGUAGAGCUGGAGUGCGGCAGAGGGGGAUGGAAUUCCGCGUGUAGCAGUGAAAUGCGUAGAUAUGCGGAGGAACACCGAUGGCGAAGGCAAUCCCCCUGGGCCUGCACUGACGCUCAUGCACGAAAGCGUGGGGAGCAAACAG